AAGGAGUCUAACAUGUUUGCGAGUGUUUGGGUGUCAAACCCAUACGCGUAAUGAAAGUGAAUGGAGGUGGGAUCCUGCAAGGGUGCACCAUCGACCGAUCCGGAUUUUUAAUGAAGGGUUUGAGUAAGAGCACGUAUGUUGGGACCCGAAAGAUGGUGAACUAUGCCUGAAUAGGGUGAAGCCAGAGGAAACUCUGGUGGAGGCUCGUAGCGGUUCUGACGUGCAAAUCGAUCGUCAAAUUUGGGUAUAGGGGCGAAAGACUAAUCGAACCAUCUAGUAGCUGGUUCCUGC
rnacentral:misc_RNA from 1 species